rnacentral:rRNA from 1 species
AUGAGAUUGCCUGGUUGUUCCAUGUAUGAGAACAAAGUAUGGACUUUGGUUGACUUGCCCGAUGAUCGGCAAGCCAUUGAGAAUAAAUGGAUCUUUAAGAAGAAGACUGACGCUGACGAUAAUGUUACUGUCUAUAAAGCUCGACUUGUUGCGAAAGGUUUUCGACAAGUUCAAGGGAUUGACUACGAUGAGACCUUCUCACCCGUAGCGAUGCUUAAGUCUGUCCAAAUUAUGUUAGCAAUUGCCGCAUUUUAUGAUUAUGAAAUUUGGCAGAUGGAUGUAAAAACUGCAUUCCUGAAUGGAUUUUUGGAAGAAGAGUUGUAUAUGAUGCAACCAGAAGGUUUUGUCGAUCCAAAGGGAGCUAACAAAGUGUGCAAGCUCCAGCGAUCCAUUUAUGGACUGGUGCAAGCCUUUCGGAGUUGGAAUAAACGCUUUGAUAGUGUGAUCAAAGCAUUUGGUUUUGUACAGACUUUUGGAGAAGCCUGUAUUUACAAGAAAGUGAGUGGGAGCUCUGUAGCAUUUCUGAUAUUAUAUGUGGAUGACAUAUUGUUUAUUGGAAAUAAUAUAGAAUUUCUGGAU